rnacentral:rRNA from 1 species
CAGUAGCCGCGGUAACACAGAGGGUGCAAGCGUUAAUCGGAUUUACUGGGCGUAAAGGGCGCGUAGGUGGUUAUGUAAGUGAGAUGUGAAAUCCCCGGGCUCAACCUGGGAACUGCAUCUUAUACUGCGUAGCUGGAGUGCAGUAGAGGGUAGUGGAAUUUCCGGUGUAGCGGUGAAAUGCGUAGAUAUCGGAAGGAACACCAGUGGCGAGGGCGGCUACCUGGACUGACACUGACACUGAGGCGCGAAAGCGUGGGGAGCAAACAGGAUUAGAUACCCGAGUAGUCCCUGUCUCUUAUAC